GCUAAACGUCGAAUCAUUGCACUACUGAUAUGUUCAGGCAAAGCUGAAUUGCAGAUCACUGGUGAUCUAGGCAAAAGCUUUAGCAAACAAAGCAGAUCAACAUUAUGUUUAUGAACAAGUUGUUUUUAUCCCCAGUGGUUUUGUAGCACUAGAAGAACAAUACCCAAGUUUAUUCUAGAGAAGAAAAUGUAUUAUUCAUUGGUUUAUGUAACAAAACCUAGGAAUAUGA
rnacentral:misc_RNA from 1 species